AGUGAACGCUGGCGGCGCGCUUAACACAUGCAAGUCGAACGAGAACGGAUUAUAGCUUGCUAUGAUUGUCAGCUAAGUGGCGCACGGGUGAGUAAUGUAUAGGUAAUAUGCCUCUUACUAAGGGAUAACAAAUGGAAACGUUUGCUAAUACCUUAUACUCCUUAUUAACAUAAGUUAAUAAGGGAAAGAUUUAUUGGUAAGAGAUUAGCCUGUAUUGUAUCAGUUAGUUGGUGGGGUAAUGGCUUACCAAGACGAUGACACAUAACUGGUUUGAACGGAUGAACUGUGACACAGGCACUGAGGUACGUGCCAGACUCAUCCGGCGUGAAGCGAUGGGGAAUAUUGUAGAAUGUACGAAAGUCUUAUGCAGCAAUGCCGCUUAGAGGAUGACCCAAUUUGAUGCGUACACUUCUUUUAUAUAAGAUGAUAAUGACGGUUUUAUAUGAAAAAGCACCGGCUAACUCCGUGCCAGCAGCCGCCGUAA
rnacentral:rRNA from 1 species